AUUGAACGCUGGCGGCAGGCUUAACACAUGCAAGUCGAGCGAGCGGCGGACGGGUGAGUAAUGUCUGGGAAACUGCCUGAUUGAGGGGGAUAACUACUGGAAACGGUAGCUAAUACCGCAUACCAUCAGAUGUGCCCAUAUGGGAUUAGCUAGUAGGUGGGGUAAAGGCUCACCUAGGCGACGAUCCCUAGCUGGUCUGAGAGGAUGAACAGCCACCCUGGAACGGAGACACGGCCCAGACUCCUACGGGAGGCAGCAGUGGGGAAUAUUGCACAAUGGGCGCAAGCCUGAUGCAGCCAUGCCGCGUGUGUGAAGAAGGCCUUCGGGUUGUAAAGUACUUUCAGCGAGGAGGCGUUACUCGCAGAAGAAGCACCGGCUAACUCCGUGCCAGCAGCCGCGGUAAUAC
rnacentral:rRNA from 1 species